CAGUCUUACCCGAUGGGUAAUUCAGCCUUUUGGGUGCGAUUAUGGUGGUACGUGGAAAGAUUUCCACCGGUUGUAUAUUUCGUGCCUUUUUGGGUGUUACUUGCUCGUAUGGUAGGUUAAACAUCAAUUUCGGUCGUCAUAAAAUGACGGGGAGGAAAUGUAGCUUCUCUGGAAGUGUUAUAGCCUCUGGUAGAUGUGAUGACUGGGAUUGAGGAUUGCAACGAACCCUCUGGGCUACUCGCCUGGCCUCUGGUCGUCUCUCUGGUGCUGAAAGCGUGCUUAUAGCAUCAAAGUAGGUGGUCAAAAGGUUAGAACGGGAUAAAU
rnacentral:rRNA from 1 species